rnacentral:lncRNA from 1 species
UUAAUCCAAUUAAACCGUUAUUUCCUAUUGGGCGUUGGACCCAACUAUUCCAAUUUGCAUACAUAUAAACAAAAGGAAUACAUGAAAUAAUAAUAAGGGCUUAUGCCCUUUUACAACACAAAUGAUGGACUUAUGUCCAUUUAAAACAAAUUGAAUUAAUCAAAUUACAUUCAAAUCUCAUCUACUUAACCCAAACAUUCAUAAUGUAAAUCGGCCAAUCACAUAGUUCAAUUAUCGAGGCCUUUGGUUCAUAAUCACCCUUUUCUUAAUCAAUCACCUUAACUAAGAAAACAACUUUAAACAAUUGGUUUUUGGAUCCAUAGAAUUGAUUUAAAUGGAACUAAAUGAAAUGAAAAUCCAAUUCUCAUUUAGGAGACAAAACCAUUUUGUUCUCAUCUUAUUUGGGCCAUAAGGAAACUAUGACCACAACAAUUGGGCCACAAGGUAAAUACAAAAACUUUUGGGGUCACUUUGUAAAAACACAAAAGUCCACAACUUCAUGUAAUUCCAACUAGAACCCAAAAUUUUAAUAAUGUAAAAACAUCAUUAAAGGAUCAAAACAAUUUGUCCUUUAGAGUUUUUGGGCCUUAACGUAAAAACGUAAACUUUUGGGCCAAAAUGCAAAUACACAAAAGUAUCAAAACUUUAUGUAAUUGCACAAAAGGCCCCAAAAGUACCCCCACUAGGGGUUGGCCGGCCAUUUGAGAAGAAAUGAAAAAAUUUCUAAAAAGUUUUUGCAAGUUGAUUUUGGUGGGUGAGGAAAAGGUGAAAUUGAUGGUUUGUAAGAAAAUGUUUUGUAAAACAUUAAAGAGUUUUGUCAAACAUUAAAGCCAAUAUUAAUGCUUCACCAAUAACCAUCACCCAUCAAAAUUAAACCAAAACUUUAUGAAAAAACAUAAAACUUUUGAAUCAAAACUUCAAAACUUUUUGUUCUUGGCAAGAACUUCAAGAACAUUGAAGAACACUCAUGAAAACUCAUAAUAGCUCCAUGAAUGUUUUCACUCACCAAAACUCAAUUUUUUUACCACUCAAAAGAGGGCUAAUAUCCUAGGGUACUUAGGGGUUCCAAAAGUCACUUUAAAACCAUUUUAACAAGACAAACAUGAACCCAAAAAAUCACCCUUUGGAUUUGGCCGAAUUUCCCAAAAUACAGGGCACCAAAUUUUAAUUCCAAUAUUCAUGCUUAAAUGAAAUACAUCUACAACAUUUGAGAUGCUAAAUUUUCUAGCAAAAUUUAUAUAUUCAAAAGCAAGAACAAAGCUUGUAACAUUUACAACAUUUAAAUCACAAAAUAUGAAAGUCA